GUGACUAGUUUAAAGAGAAGAAACAUACGUACUUCUGCAGCUUCAUCUCUCACUCUCUCUCAGCAAAAGGGGUUUUCUCCCACUCUUACUAAUAAUUAUCCAUCCAAUUCCCUGAAAUCUCUAGAAUCUAUCCUUAAAUCCCAAAUGUAAACCGAUAUCUAGAGCCCUAAACAGAAAUUAUAUUCUCAAAUUAGGUAUGUGUUUGAAUCCUAAAUUCUUUUGGGUGGUACAUGCAACUAGCGAGAAUGAUUAUUUCUUCAAUUUCACCUUUAAUUUCUCUAGCCCAUUUGAAAAUAUACAGGAAUCGAGGUAUUUUUUCUUGAUAGCCAUCGCCUAAAGCCCUUUCUCAGUGUCGACUGCUCUUUCGCUGGGUAAGUUAAAAACUUCUUUCCCAAAAUAAGGCUCAAUCAUAUACCCCAAAUAAGGCUCCUCUUCUCUCACUUUGAACACAGACGAGAAAGUUCCCAAACCCAGGUGCUCUCCCCAAAUCCCUAAAUCCAACACAAGUGACUUUUGCUAUAUCAUUAUGGAAAAAAGUUAUUGCUAUUGCUUGAAUUUGCAACUGCAAUUAACACUACACUGUUUAAUCGAUGCUACUGAUGAGAGGAUGCAACAAAAAAUGGAAGAAAUGGAAGAGAGGAUGGAACAAAGAAUGCUGGAAAAAUUCAAUGCACAAAAGGAUGCUAUGGAACAAGAAAUUACAGUGAACGUCGUCGCACGUCUUCAACGUCUCAACCCCGAUUUGCAACUUGAUCCUAACAUGCUAAUGUUCAGUGCUCGUGCAUCUGGAGAAGUUUUCUCUACACAACAAGCUGCUAUUCAACUAAUCAAUCGUCCAACUGCUUGCAGUUACAAUCAAGGUGGUGUAGAUCAAGAAAUGGAAGAUGGAGGCAAUGAAGAUCUUGAAGGGCAAUGACUUUAUUUAUCCUCUUUUGUAGGUGGUGUAGAUCAAGAAAUGGAAGAUGGAGGCAAUGAAGAUCUUGAAGGGCAAUGACUUUAUUUAUCCUCUUUUGUAGGUGGUGUAGAUCAAGAAAUGGAAGAUGGAGGCAAUGAAGAUCUAGACCUUACAUAAGAUGAAUUUUGAAUUGCUAUUAGAACGGUUUUCCAUGCGUUACCAUAGACCAAUUUUUCAGUAGUAUAAUGUCUUCUCCCAUUUUUUUCUUUUCUUUAAGGUUGAGAUCAGAGGUAAUUAUUGUUUUAGAUGUGGUUGACUCUCUUAGUCGUGUGAUAUUUGGGGAAUUUAUUCGUGCUUGUAAGUUAUAAGGAUUUGCUCACUGAUUGUUAUAAAAGAUAAACAAUAUAAAAAGGAAUAGAAAUUACAUAACUAGUCUGCGCAUUAUAUGAAUGGAUGAGAAUUUGUAUUAACAUCCGGGAGAAUACCCUUUAUGUACUGAGCGCUAUCUUAGUGCUUGGUAUUUUGUAAUUUAUAAAACUUUAGUUUCUCAUUUUAAAAGUAUGUGGUACAAAAAUGGCUUAAUUUCAUUAAUAGAUGUCUACAUUGUGGAAUUGAGAUAUUUUAUAGAAAAGUGACCAUGUUGGACAAUAAACAUUUCCCUCUUUGACUAGUAUAGUAUUAUUGUAUUUUCGUUUGAUGCACUGUUUCUAUUGAGAUCCUACUCUUACAGGAAAAAGUUGUUGCUGCAAUACUAAUUUUUUUAUGGGUGGUUUGAUUUGUUCAUCUUUUCCACUUAUGUUCUUGUUGAUAUGCUGGUUGUUGUUGCACUUCACAUUUAUUUAAUUAAUUGAUUGCCUUUUAUCCAAAAAAAUAAGAAUGGAUAAAAGUUGGUUGAAUCUUAGGAAUAGAGGAGACCAAAGAUACAAAGAUGGAGUAAACGGUUUUCUUGUUGCAUUUCACCUUUGUUCUUACUAAUUUUUUUCUAUAUAAUGCAGGAGGUUCAACAUGAUAGGAAUUGGACGAGGCAAAGGUCGAGGUGGAACUAGCUGUGGACGUGGCCAUUUUCAAGGACGUAGCAAUUCUGGAGCGACGUCUCAGCCACAAUUGCAGCUAAGGGGAAAUACUAGAGCAUCCUUAGAGACAGGAGAAUCAAAUAAUCCUUGUAAAGAACCUAUCGAGACAAGGCAAAUAUCAAGCAACCCUUGGCAGAGACCUUCUGUAGAGACAGUUUCAUCAAGAAAUUUGGACAUAAUUUCUUCCAGGAACAAAAAAAGAGGAAGAGGAAAAUAUAAAUCUAAAAUUGUAGAUAUUAAAACUAAGUACGGCAGAAAAAUCACAAUUACGAUUCUAGAUGACAUUGAUAUAGUAGUAGGUGCUAGGGCAAGAGAUAUUGUUAAUUAUUGUGGUUUGAUCAUGAGGAGCACUAUCUCAUUCCGAGAUAGGAAUUGACAAAAGAUUGUUUCAAAAUAUGAAGAAACAAUGUGGUUAAAGGUUAAGGAUAAGUUUGAAGUUCUUGGCAGUGUGCAAGAGCAUGUGUUGCAAGCCUUUGUCAUUAGUACUAUGCAAAGGCUUUUUAGAGCAUGGAAAGCUCGAUUAAGCAUUCACUAUUCUCGCCACAUUGCUAAUGGAAAUAUAUUAUCUCAUCGACUCGAAGAUGUUGAGUGUAACGACCCGACCAGUCGUUUUGAGCUUUUGCACUUCGCUUGUCAGUUCUCGGGCAUGACU